rnacentral:tRNA from 1 species
AGCAGUGUGGCUUAGUGGAUAGAGCAUGCACCUGGGAAUUAGAAGGGCCUGGGUUCUAAAUCCCAGCUCUGCCG